rnacentral:rRNA from 1 species
CCUACGGGUGGCAGCAGUCGAGAAUCAUUCACAAUGGGGGAAACCCUGAUGGUGCGACGCCGCGUGGGGGAAUGAAGGUCUUCGGAUUGUAAACCCUUGUCAUGUGGGAGCAAAUUAAAAAGAUAGUACCACAAGAGGAAGAGACGGCUAACUCUGUGACAGCCGCCGCGGUAAUACAGAGGGCUCAAGCGUUGUUCGGAAUCACUGGGCGUAAAGCGUGCGUAGGCUGUUUCGUCGUCGUGUGUGAAAGGCGAGGGCUCAACCCGCGGACGGCACAUGAUACUGCGAGACUAGAGUAAUGUAGGGGGUACCGGAAUUCUCGGUGUAGCAGUGGAAUGCGUAGAUAUCGAGAGGAACACUCGUGGCGAAGGCGGGUUCCUGGACAUUAACUGACGCUGAGGCACGAAGGCCAGGGGAGCGAAAGGGAUUAGAUACCCCUGUAGUC